rnacentral:rRNA from 1 species
UACGUAGGGUGCAAGCGUUAAUCGGAAUUACUGGGCGUAAAGCGUGCGUAGGCGGUGAUGUAAGACCGUUGUGAAAUCCCCGGGCUCAACCUGGGAACUGCAUCUGUGACUGCAUCGCUGGAGUACGGUAGAGGGGGAUGGAAUUCCGCGUGUAGCAGUGAAAUGCGUAGAUAUGCGGAGGAACACCGAUGGCGAAGGCAAUCCCCUGGACCUGUACUGACGCUCAUGCACGAAAGCGUGGGGAGCAAACAGG